rnacentral:lncRNA from 1 species
GUGCUGUAUAGUCUUGUAUAGUGUCGUGUAGUGUUGUGUAGUGUUGUAUAGUCUUGUAUAGUGUGGUAUAGUGUGGUAUAGUGUCGUAUAGUCUUGUAUAGUGCUGUAUAGUGUUGUAUAGUGUCGUAUAGUGCUGUAUAGUUUUGUAUAAUGUCGUAUAGUGUUGUAUAGUGUCAUAUAGUCUUGUAUAGUCUUGUAUAGUCUUGUACAGUGCUGUAUAGUGUUGUAUAGUGCUGUAUAGUGUUGUAUAGUGUUGUAUAGUGUUGUAUAGUGUUGUAUAGUGCUGUAUAGUGUCGUAUAGUGUUGUAUAGUCUUGUAUAGUCUUGUAUAGUGUUGUAUAGUGUUGUAUAGUGCUGUAUAGUGUCGUACAGUCUUGUAUAGAGUCGUACAGUGUUGUAUAGUGUUGUAUAGUGCUGUAUAGUCUUGUAUAGUGUCGUAUAGUGUUAUGUAGUGUUGUAUAGUGCUGUAUAGUCUUGUAUAGUGUGGUAUAUUGUGGUAUAGUGUGGUAUAGUGUCGUAUAGUGCUGUAUAGUGUUGUAUAGUGUCGUAUAGUGCUGUAUAGUUUUGUAUAAUGUCGUAUAGUGUUGUAUAGUGUCCUAUAGUCUUGUAUGGUGUUGUAUAGUGCUGUAUAGUGUUGUAUAGUGUUGUAUAGUGUUGUAUAGUGUUGUAUAGUGUCGUAUAGUCUUGUAUAGUGUCGUAUAGUGUUGUAUAGUGUUGUAUAGUGUUGUAUAGUGUUGUAUAGUGUUGUAUAGUGCUGUAUAGUGUUGUAUAGUGUUGUAUAGUGUUGUAUAGUGUUGUAUAGUGCUGUAUAGUCUUGUAUAGUGUUGUAUAGUGUCGUAUAGUCUUGUAUAGUGUCGUAUAGUGUUGUAUAGUGUUGUAUAGUGCUGUAUAGUGUUGUAUAGUGUUGUAUAGUGUUGUAUGGUGUUGUAUAGUGCUGUAUAGCCUUGUAUGGUGUUGUAUAGUGUCGUAUAGUGUUGUAUAGUGUUGUAUAGUGUCGUAUAGUGUCGUAUAGUGUUGUAUAGUGUUGUAUAGUGUUGUAUAGUGCUGUAUAGUGUUGUAUAGUCUUGUAUAGAGUCGUAUAGUGUUGUAUAGUGUUGUAUAGUGUUGUACAGUGUCGUAUAGUUUUGUAUAGAGUCGUAUAGUGUUGUAUAGUGCUGUAUAGCCUUGUAUAGUGUUGUAUAGUGUCGUAUAGUCUUGUAUAGUGUUGUAUAGUGUCGUAUAGUCUUGUAUAGUCUUGUAUAGUCUUGUAUAGUGUUGUAUAGUGCUGUAUAGUGUCGUAUAGAGUCGUAUAGUCUUGUAUAGUGCAUGUUGUAUAGUGUUGUAUAGUGCUGUAUAGUCUUGUAUAGUGUCGUAUAGUCUUGUAUAGUCUUGUAUAGUCUUGUAUAGUAUUGUAUAGUGCUGUAUAGUGUCGUAUAGUUUUGUAUAGAGUCGUAUAGUCUUGUAUAGAGUCGUGUAGUGUUGUAUAGUGUUGUAUAGUGUUGUAUAGUGUCGUAUAGUGUUGUAUAGUGUUGUAUAGUGUUGUAUAUUGUCGUAUAGUCUUGUAUAGUGCUGUAUAGUGUCGUAUAGUCUUGUAUAGUCUUGUAUAGUGUAGUAUAG